rfam:Echinostoma caproni strain Egypt genome assembly, scaffold: ECPE_scaffold0008341
GGCCUCGUAACUCAGCUGGUAGAGCGUGCGUGUACAAAGCGUAGGCGACGUCCAUGCGUGGGUUCGAAUCCCACCGAGGCUA